rnacentral:rRNA from 1 species
ACCAUGCAAGUCGAGCGGAAAGGCCCCUUCGGGGGUACUCGAGCGGCGAACGGGUGAGUAACACGUGAGCAACCUGCCCCUGACUCUGGGAUAAGCCCGGGAAACUGGGUCUAAUACCGGAUAUGACGCAUUCUCGCAUGGGAUGUGUGUGGAAAGUUUUUCGGUUGGGGAUGGGCUCGCGGCCUAUCAGCUUGUUGGUGGGGUGAUGGCCUACCAAGGCGACGACGGGUAACCGGCCUGAGAGGGCGACCGGUCACACUGGGACUGAGACACGGCCCAGACUCCUACGGGAGGCAGCAGUGGGGAAUAUUGCGCAAUGGGCGGAAGCCUGACGCAGCGACGCCGCGUGGGGGAUGACGGCCUUCGGGUUGUAAACCUCUUUCAGCAGGGACGAAGCUAACGUGACGGUACCUGCAGAAGAAGCGCCGGCUAACUACGUGCCAGCAGCCGGGGUAAAUUC